AGGUUAAGCGGAAAAAGCGGAGCCGUAGCGAAAGCGAGUCUGAAUAGGGCGCAUAAGUAACAGGUCGUAGACCCGAAACCAGGUGAUCUACCCAUGUCCAGGAUGAAGGUAAGGUAAUACUUACUGGAGGUCCGAACCCACGCACGUUGAAAAGUGCGGGGAUGAGGUGUGGGUAGCGGAGAAAUUCCAAUCGAACUUGGAGAUAGCUGGUUCUCUCCGAAAUAGCUUUAGGGCUAGCCUCGAGGUAAAGAGUCAUGGAGGUAGAGCACUGUUUGGACUAGGGGCCCUUCUCGGGUUACCGAAUUCAGAUAAACUCCGAAUGCCAUGUACUUAUACUCGGGAGUCAGACUGCGAGUGAUAAGAUCCGUAGUCGAAAGGGAAACAGCCCAGACCACCAGUUAAGGUCCCCAAAUAUAUGUUAAGUGGAAAAGGAUGUGGGGUUGCUUAGACAACCAGGAUGUUGGCUUAGAAGCAGCCACCAUUGAAAGAGUGCGUAAUAGCUCACUGGUCGAGUGACCCCGCGCCGAAAAUGUACCGGGGCUAAACAUAUUACCGAAACUGUGGAUGAACCUCUUUAGAGGUUCGUGGUAGGAGAGCGUUCUAAGGGCGGUGAAGUCAGACCGGAAGGACUGGUGGAGCGCUUAGAAGUGAGAAUGCCGGUAUGAGUAGCGAAAGAAGGGUGAGAAUCCCUUCCACCGAAUAUCUAAGGUU
rnacentral:rRNA from 1 species